rnacentral:lncRNA from 1 species
AAUACACCAUCUAAUUAGUUCGAAAAACGUGCACAUAAACACCGAGAAAAAUCCAAAGCAAAGAACGCACAAUAUUAGUGAAAACAAAAUAUUCUUGCAUUACAUGAUUGAUUACAUCAAAGCAGGGAAACAGGUCAGAAAGAUCUCUAGCAGACAAAAGAAAAAGGAAAACUAAAAAACAGUGCCACGUCAUGCAUCGUUGGAGGAUGGCAUGCCACGUCAGGCGACGCUGUUGAGCAGCGCGGUGGCCAUGGUGGUGAGCCGGCUGAACUCCUCGUUGGCCCCGUCCAUCCCCGNN